rnacentral:rRNA from 1 species
AGUGAACGCUGGCGGUAGGCCUAACACAUGCAAGUCGAACGGCAGCACAGUAAGAGCUUGCUCUUACGGGUGGCGAGUGGCGGACGGGUGAGGAAUACAUCGGAAUCUACUUUUUCGUGGGGGAUAACGUAUGGAAACUUACGCUAAUACCGCAUACGACCUACGGGUGAAAGCAGGGGAUCUUCGGACCUUGCGCGAUUGAAUGAGCCGAUGUCGGAUUAGCUAGUUGGCGGGGUAAAGGCCCACCAAGGCGACGAUCCGUAGCUGGUCUGAGAGGAUGAUCAGCCACACUGGAACUGAGAGAAGGUCCAGACUCCUAAGGGAGGCAGCAGUGGGGAAUAUUGGACAAUGGGCGCAAGCCUGAUCCAGCCAUACCGCGUGGGUGAAGAAGGCCUUCGGGUUGUAAAGCCCUUUUGUUGGGAAAGAAAAGCAGCAGGUUAAUACCCCGCUGUUCUGACGGUACCCAAAGAAUAAGCACCGGCUAACUUCGUG